UAUGACUUCAAACAGAGAAAAAGCAGCUGGUGAAGAUGGAAGUUGUUCAAAUAAACCACUGGAUGAAAACAUCUUUUGGACUAACACAAAGGGAUCGAGAGAGUCAUAAGAGACAUAUAAGACGGUACCAGCUAACCUUGUCUACUCUCUGGUGAAGGUUCUAAGGAGUUAAGGAAAUGGACAAAAGGAGGGAGGAGUACAGAAACAUGGAGCUGGCUCAUUUAUCCACUGCAGAAUCCCUCCCCAGAAAACAGAGCCGCAUGGACUGCAGGGGUGCAAUUUCCUGCUCUGCAUUUACCAAACUCAUCUCAGAAAAGUGUGCUGGACCCUAAGUAGAGAAAGAGCAGGACCUGGCCUCUGGGAGGUCUGCAUUCUAGGGAAAGAAGACUAUUAAGGUGAUCAGAUAGGUCAGGGGACUCUGAAUCACUUAUGUUAAAGAACAGUAAAUGCCACGGUACCUAUUGCUUUUGCCAAGAAGCGUGCACUGUUGAGAUUCUUCACUUCAGUCCUAAUCCCCCAGGGUUCCCCAGGAUGAUGCACAGAUAUGUUGGCGUCCACUCUCAACUGACCCUCUGGAAAGAAAAAGAAGUCACUGCUUCAAACAUUCCUUUCUGCUCGAGGGCCACAUGGGAAGGGCCUGGCAUGGGUCCCCAUGCUGGAUGUUGGAGCUUGGAUGCUGGACAGGUUUUCACUAGUCUCCUCUGAAGGUCUUGAAGGUGACUCAUUUCCUUAGUAAAAGCCUUAGCACGUAA